rnacentral:RNase_P_RNA from 1 species
CCGGCAAGCCGCUUUAUCGGGCUGACUAUUAAUGUCAGUCAGGAAAGUCCGGGCAACGCAGGGCACCGUGCUUCUUAGCGGGAAGAUCUUUGAAAGGGGAUAGUAACGUAACAGAAAAUAACCACCUUGUUAUGGCUCGUCCAUAGCGGGGAACGGGUGAAAAGGUGUGGUAAAAGCGCACCGGUGGCGGUGGCAACAUCGUCAGCCGUAUGUCUCGCGGGUUGCAAAGCCAUGUAUAUCCAAAGUGUUUGCCGCUGUUGCGGUACAGCGAAACGGCCCGUUUUGCUCCUAACGCACAAAGGACUUUGGAGGGGUAGGCUGCAGGACUCAGGUAGUGAUAUCUGGGCAAGAUAAAUGAUAAAGCUUUCCUGACGAUAAAUGUCAGGAUUGACAGGACCCGGCUUACAGGCUUGCCUUUUUA